GACGAACGCUGGCGGCGUGCCUAAUACAUGCAAGUCGAACGCAUUUUCUUUCACCGUAGCUUGCUACACCGAAAGAAAAUGAGUGGCGAACGGGUGAGUAACACGUGGGUAACCUGCCCAUCAGCGGGGGAUAACACUUGGAAACAGGUGCUAAUACCGCAUAAUUCCAUUUACCGCAUGGCAGAUGGCUGAAAGCCGCUUUUGCGUCCCUUAUGGAUGGACCCGCGGUGCAUUAGCUAGUUGGUGGGGUAACGGCCUACCAAGGCUGCGAUGCAUAGCCGGCCUGAGAGGGUGGUCGGCCACACUGGGACUGAGACACGGCCCAGACUCCUACGGGAGGCAGCAGGAGGGAAACUUCGGCAAUGGACACAAGUCUGACCGAGCAACGCCGCGUGAGUGAAGAAGGUUUUCGGAUCGUAAAACUCUGUUGUUAGAGAAGAACAAGGAUGAGAGUGGAAAGUUCAUCCCUUGACGGUAUCUAACCAGAAAGCCACGGCUAACUACGUG
rnacentral:rRNA from 1 species